CAGUCGCCGCGGUAAUACAGAGGGUGCGAGCGUUAAUCGGAUUUACUGGGCGUAAAGCGUGCGUAGGCGGCUUCUUAAGUCGGAUGUGAAAUCCCUGAGCUUAACUUAGGAAUUGCAUUCGAUACUUGGAAGCUAGAGUAUGGGAGAGGAUGGUAGAAUUCCAGGUGUAGCGGUGAAAUGCGUAGAGAUCUGGAGGAAUACCGAUGGCGAAGGCAGCCAUCUGGCCUAAUACUGACGCUGAGGUACGAAAGCAUGGGGAGCAAACAGGAUUAGAUACCCCAGUAGUCCCUGUCUCUUAUAC
rnacentral:rRNA from 1 species